UACGUAGGUGGCGAACGUUAUCCGGAAUUAUUGGGCGUAAAGGGUGCGUAGGUGGCCUGGCAAGUUAUCAGUGGUAAAUCGAGGCCCAACCUCGUGGAAACUGGCAAUACUGCUUGGCUUGAGUGCAGGAGAGGUUAACGGAACUCUAUGUGGAGCGGUAAAAUGCACAGAUAUAUAGAAGAACAUCAAUAACGGCGAAGGCAGUUAACUAUUCUGUUACUGACACUGAGGCACGAAAGCGUGGGGAGCAAAACGG
rnacentral:rRNA from 1 species